UACAGAUUUUCUUUUUUCAUUUAUUUUUGGAAAAACGAUCUGUAUCCCCUGUGAACUUUCAUAUAGCACCACAACUACACAGAUCCUAAAUCUCGAUUUCAGUCCACACAAAUGAAAAGUUACAGUCCAGUUUCCCCAUAAUUUUAAAGUUCGAAACCUCUUUCCCCAUUAAUGUUGGUUAACUUGGUUUAUGACAUAAACCAGGUGUCAAACCAAAAAUCCACUAGAAUAAACCGAACUGAAACCUGAUUAAAUUUUUUUUUUUCUCCCUUCGUCUUCUUCCUUCCUCCUCCACUUUCUAAUCUCAGAAUUUUUUCUGAAAAAAUGAAAUAACAUAUAUUUUGUUUACUCCAUAGAUCUUUUGCCUUCGCACAAUUCAGAGAAAGAAAACCAUAAACAUGAUUGUGUUUGGAUUAUACCUCGAGUUUGAGAAACUGAAAUCAAAAUUUGGGUUUGAAGUCACCACCGCCAUGAACUCCUCCGCGACGAUGACGAACACGACUAAUCUCCGUUGUUAUCAAGAUUCUGGAUUUCCCGAACAUUGUUUUCUCUGUAUAAGAAAACUUCUCCCAACAAAAUUUAUCUCUAUGUAUAAGUAAGUGAAUCGAUAAAAUAACCAAAUCCAGAAUCAAUCGCAAUCACAACUUGUUCCUCCUCCGUCGUCGCUGUCGCCGUUAACGAUGGUUUGCUCGAAGUCUCAGUAGUUUCGUAUUGAGACUUAGGAUCCCACGAAUCGAAAUCAGAGUUUCUUCUCGGACAUCGAAUUCACAAGCUCUGCUAUACCAUCGACGCUUCUGCUUCGUUUGUAAGGGACAUUGCGAAGGAGAUAAAUCGAAGAAAACCAUGUUUGAUUUGUUUAUUUGCUGUGUGAUGCCAACUCUUUAAUGUUGUUGCUACUCUCUCGUUGAAAAUUGUUGGUUUCAUCUUUGAA